CUUAACACAUNGCAANUCNAGCGGAAACGAAGAAAAGCUUGUUUUUCAGGCGUCGAGCGGCGGACGGGUGAGUAACNCAUAGGAAUCUGCCUAGUAGUGGGGGACAACCUGUGGAAACGCAGGCUAAUACCGCAUAAUCCCUGAGGGGGAAAGGAGGGGAUCUUCGGACCUUUCUCUAUUAGAUGAGCCUGCGUGAGAUUAGCUAGUUGGUGAGGUAAAGGCUCACCAAGGCGACGAUCUCUAGCUGGUCUGAGAGGAUGAUCAGCCACCCUGGGACUGAGACACGGCCCAAACUCCUACGGGAGGCAGCAGUGGGGAAUAUUGGACAAUGGGCGCAAGCCUGAUCCACCCAUACCGCGUGUGUGAAGAAGGCCUUAGGGUUGUAAAGCACUUUCAGAAGGGAGGAAAGGUUGAUGUUUAAUACGCAUUAUCUGUGACGUUACCUUCAGAAGAAGCACCGGCUAACUCUGUGCCAGCA
rnacentral:rRNA from 1 species